rnacentral:rRNA from 1 species
UGACCUCAAAUCAGGUAGGAUUACCCGCUGAACUUAAGCAUAUCAAUAAGCGGAGGAAAAGAAACUAACAAGGAUUCCCCUAGUAACUGCGAGUGAAGCGGGAUGAGCUCAAAUUUAAAAUCUGGCGGUCUCUGGCCGUCCGAGUUGUAUUCUGGAGAA